CACACCUACACCCGCUACCUGGGCGACCUGUCCGGAGGCCAGGUCCUCAAGAAGAUCACGCCCUGGACCUGCCCAGUUCCAGAGAGGGCCUGAGCCUACCUGUGCUGCAUUUUACCUAUUCACUGCAAGGGGAAGGCCCUGGUAACUUAUGCCGCUUAUCAUUGUGGUUAACAUAGUUAUGAGUUUUGUCCACACUUCUCUGCUCAUAGUCACAUGAAUCUGAAGGUUUCAUGCCUGUCCUGGUACCCUGAGGAUUCUGAUCAGUUAGUGUUAGGGCUAGGAUUAGUGCAAGGGCUAGGGUUUGGGUUAAUAUUUGCCCUUUAUGACUUCUACAUAGGAUUCUGGCAGCCUCUGCCACUUCAGAUUGUGGGUAAUGUAGUCUGUGAUGUGUCUGCUUAUUGUGGGGAUCCUUGGAGCAUUGGGUGCUCCCUAGCAUUGGGGUGCAAGGAGAGUGAAGGCUGAAGAGGGACUGAGGGAAGCUGGGGGCAGGUGCUUGUGUGCUGCUAGGAAAGAUUGAGUGUGACAUUGAGG
rnacentral:lncRNA from 1 species